AGUAGUUUGAUCAGUGGCUCAGAACGACGCUGGCGGCAUGCCUAACACAUGCAAGUCGAACGAGACCUUCGGGUCUAGUGGCGCACGGGUGCGUAACGCGUGGGAAUCUGCCCUAGGGUGCGGAAUAACUCGGAGAAAUCCGUGCUAAUACCGCAUAAUGUCUUCGGACCAAAGAUUUAUCGCCCUGGGAUGAGCCCGCGUAGGAUUAGCUAGUUGGUGGGUAAAGGCCUACCAAGGCGACGAUCCUUAGCUGGUCUGAGAGGAUGAUCAGCCACACUGGGACUGAGACACGGCCCAGACUCCUACGGGAGGCAGCAGUGGGAAUAUUGGACAAUGGGCGAAAGCCUGAUCCAGCAAUGCCGCGUGAGUGAUGAAGGCCCUAGGGUUGUAAAGCUCUUUUACCCGGGAUGAUAAUGACAGUACCGGGAGAAUAAGCUCCGGCUAACUCCGUG
rnacentral:rRNA from 1 species